ensembl:lncRNA
CUGUAGUAGACUGUAGGCUGCAUCUCACUGUCGUAGACUGCAUCUCACUGUAGUAGACUGUAGGCUGCAUCUCACUGUAGUAGACUGUAGGCUGCAUCUCACUGUAGUAGACUGUAGACUGUAUCUCACUGUAGUAGACUGUAUCUCACUGUAGUAGACUGCAUCUCACUGUAGUAGACUGUAGACUGCAUCUCACUGUAGUAGACUGUAGACUGCAUCUCACUGUAGUAGACUGUAGACUGCAUCUCACUGUAGUAGACUGUAGACUGCAUCUCACUGUAGUAGACUGUAGACUGCAUCUCACUGUAGUAGACUGUAGACUGCAUCUCACUGUAGUAGAUUGCAUCUCACUGUAGUAGACUGUAGACUGCAUCUCACUGUAGUAGACUGUAGACUGCAUCUCACUGUAGUAGACUGUAGACUGCAUCUCACUGUAGUAGACUGCAUAUCACUGUAGUAGACUGCAUCUCACUGUAGUAGACUGUAGACAGCAUCUCACUGUAGUAGACUGUAGACUGCAUCUCACUGUAGUAGAUUGCAUCUCACUGUAGUAGACUGUAGACUGUAUCUCACUGUAGUAGACUGCAUCUCACUGUAGUAGGCUGCAUAUCACUGUAGUAGACUGCAUCUCACUGUAGUAGACUGUAGACAGCAUCUCACUGUAGUAGACUGUAGACUGCAUCUCACUGUAGUAGACUGUAGACUGCAUCUCACUGUAGUAGACUGCAUCUCACUGUAGUAGACUGCAUCUCACUGUAUCUCACUGUAGUGGACUGUAGGCUUCAUCUCACUCUAGUAGACUGUAGAAGGCAUCUCACUGUAGUAGACUGCAUCUCACUGUAGUAGACUGUAGACUGCAUCUCACUGUAGUAGACUGCAUCUCACUGUAGUAGACUGCAUCUCACUGUAGUAGACUGCAUCUCACUGUAGUAGACUGUAGACUGCAUCUCACUGUAGUAGACUGUAGACUGCAUCUCACUGUAGUAGACUGUAGACUGCAUCUCACUGUAGUAGACUGUAGACUGCAUCUCACUGUAGUAGACUGUAGACUGCAUCUCACUGUAGUAGACUGUAGACUGCAUCACAGAGACUCUCAGUUACAUACAUGAUGUUACAUUCUACCACAGUUACAUACAUGAUGUGAUGUUACAUACAUGAUGUUACAUACUACUACAGUUACAUACAUGAUGUGAUGUUACAUACUACCACAGUUACAUACAUGAUGUGAUGUUACAUUCUACCACAGUUACAUACAUCAUGUUACAUUCUACCACAGUUACAUACAUGAUGUGAUGUUACAUACAUGAUGUUACAUACUACUACAGUUACAUACAUGAUGUUACAUACUACCACAGUUACAUACAGGAUGUAAUGUUACAAACAGGAUGUGCUGUUACAUACUACUACAGUUACAUACAUGAUGUUACAUUCUACCACAGUUACAUACAUGUUACAUACUACUACAGUUACAUACAUCAUGUUACAUACUACCACAGUUACAUACAUGAUGUGAUGUUACAUACUACCACAGUUACAUACAUGAUGUGAUGUUACAUGCUACCACAGUUACAUACAUGAUGUUACAUUCUACCACAGUUACAUACAUCAUGUUACAUUCUACCACAGUUACAUACAGGAUGUAAUGUUACAAACAGGAUGUGAUGUUACAUACUACUACAGUUACAUACAUGAUGUUACAUACUACUACAGUUACAUACAUGAUGUGAUGUUACAUACUACCACAGUUACAUACAUGAUGUUACAUUCUACUACAGUUACAUGCAUGAUGUUACAUUCUACUACAGUUACAUACGUGAUGUUACAUACUACUACAGUUACAUACAUUAUGUGAUGUUACAUACUACUACAGUUACAUACAUGUUACAUUCAUGAUGUUACAUAUUACUACAUUUACAUAUUACUGCAGUUACAUACAUGAUGUUGCAUACUACUACAGUUACAUACAUUAUGUGAUGUUACAUACUACCACAGUUAUAUACAUGAUGUGAUGUUACAUACUACUACAGUUACAUAUGUGAUGUUGCAUACUACUAGUUACAUACAUUAUGUGAUGUUACAUACUACCACAGUUAUAUACAUGAUGUGAUGUUACAUACUACUACAGUUACAUAUGUGAUGUUACAUACUACCACAGUUACAUACAUGUUGUGAUGUUACAUACUACUACAGUUACAUACAUGUUGUGAUGUUACAUACUACUACAGUUACAUACAUGUUGUGAUGUUACAUACUACAACAGUUACAUACAUGUUGUGAUGUUACAUACUACUACAGUUACAUACAUGAUGUUACAUUCUACUACAGUUACAUACAUGUUACAUACUACUACAAUUACAUACAUGAUGUGAUGUUACAUACUACUACAGUUACAUACAUGAUGUUACAUACUACUACAGUUACAUAUGUGAUGUUACAUACUACUACAGUUACAUACAUGAUGUUACAUACUACUACAGUUACAUACAUGUUACAUACUACUACAGUUACGUACAUGUUACAUACUACUACAGUUACGUACAUGUUACAUACUACUACAGUUACAUACAUGAUGUUACAUACUACUACAGUUACAUAUGUGAUGUUACAUUCUACUACAGUUACAUACAUGUUACAUACUACUACAGUUACGUACAUGUUACAUACUACUACAGUUACGUAGAUGUUACAUACUACUACAGUUACAUACAUGAUGUUACAUACUACUACAGUUACAUAUGUGAUGUUACAUACUACUACAGUUACAUAUGUGAUGUUACAUACUACUACAGUUACAUACAUGUUACAUACUACUACAGUUACAUGCAUGAUGUUACAUACUACUACAGUUACAUACAUUAUGUGAUGUUACAUACUACUACAGUUACAUACAUGAUGUUACAUACUACUACAGUUACAUACGUGAUGUUACAUACUACUACAGUUACAUACGUGAUGUUACAUACAUGUUACAUACUACUACAGUUACAUACAUGUUACAUACUACUACAGUUACAUGCAUGAUGUUACAUACGUGAUGUUACAUACUACUACAGUUACAUACAUUAUGUGAUGUUACAUACUACUACAGUUACAUACAUGAUGUUACAUACUACUACAGUUACAUACGUGAUGUUACAUACUACUACAGUUACAUACGUGAUGUUACAUACAUGUUACAUACUACUACAGUUACAUACAUGCUGCUACAUACAUGAUGUGAUGUUACAUACUACUACAGUUGCAUACAUAAUGUUACAUACAUGUUACAUACUACUAAAGUUACAUACAUGUUACAUACUAUUACAGUUACAUACAUAAUGUUACAUACUACUAAAGUUGCAUACAUGUUACAUACUACUACAGUUACAUACAUGAUGUGAUGUUACAUACUACUACAGUUACAUACAUGUGAUGUUACAUACAUGAUGUGAUGUUACAUACAUGUUGUGAUGUUACAUACUACUACAGUUACAUACAUGAUGUGAUGUUACAUACUACUACAGUUACAUACAUGUUGUGAUGUUACAUACAUGAUGUGAUGUUACAUACAUGUUGUGAUGUUACAUACUACUACAGUUACAUACAUGAUGUGAUGUUACAUACUACGACAGUUACAUACAUGUUGUGAUGUUACAUACUACUACAGUUACAUACAUGAUGUGAUGUUACAUACUACGACAGUUACAUACAUGAUGUGAUGUUAGAUACUACGACAGUUACGUACAUGAUGUGAUGUUACAUGUAGGAAACCAAAGUUGUCAGUGAAUUAAAAAGAUUUGUAUUGUU